rnacentral:rRNA from 1 species
UACGUAGGGGGCAAGCGUUGUCCGGAAUCAUUGGGCGUAAAGAGCGUGUAGGCGGUCCGGUAAGUCCGCUGUGAAAGUCGGGGGCUCAACCCUCGGAUGCCGGUGGAUACUGUCGGGCUCGAGUACGGAAGAGGCGAGUGGAAUUCCUGGUGUAGCGGUGAAAUGCGCAGGAUAUCAGGAGGAACACCAAUUGCGAAGGCAGCUCGCUGGGACGUUACUGACGCUGAGACGCGAAAGCGUGGGGAGCAAACAGG